rnacentral:lncRNA from 1 species
GGUGAACUGAAAACGUCAACCCCCCUUGAUCGUGAGGAGCAAGCUGUUUAUCAUCUUCUCGUCAGGGCCACAGAUGGAGGAGGAAGAUUCUGCCAAGCCAGUGUUGUGCUCACGCUAGAAGACGUGAACGAUAAUGCCCCCGAAUUCUCUGCCGAUCCUUAUGCCAUCACCGUGUUUGAAAACACAGAGCCCGGAACGCUGCUGACAAGAGUGCAGGCCACGGAUGCCGACGCAGGAUUAAAUCGG